ACAGUGGUGAUUCAGUGGUAGAAUUCUUGCCUUCUAUGUGGAAGACCUGAGUUCAAUCCCAGUCAAUGUA
rnacentral:tRNA from 1 species